CCUACGGGUGGCAGCAGUGAGGAAUAUUGGUCAAUGGGCGGAAGCCUGAACCAGCCAAGUCGCGUGAGGGAAUAAGGCCCUACGGGUCGUAAACCUCUUUUGCCGGGGAGCAAGAGCGGGGACGUGUCCCGGCCCGGAGAGUACCCGGAGAAAAAGCAUGGGCCAACUCCGUGCCAGCAGCCGGGGUAAUACGGGGGUUGCGAGCGUUAUCCGGAUUUAUUGGGGUUAAAGGGUUGGUUGGCGGAUCGUUAAGUAAGUGGUCAAAUUGAGGGGCUCAACCCCUUUCCGCCAUUGAAACUGGAGUUCUUGAGUGGAGGAGAGGUAUGCGGAAUGCGUGGUGUAGCGGUGAAAUGCAUAGAUAUCACGCAGAACCCCGAUGGCGAAGGCAGCAUGCCGGCUUCCGACUGACGCUGAAGCACGAAAGCGUGGGGAUCGAACAGGAUUAGAUACCCGAGUAGUC
rnacentral:rRNA from 1 species